rnacentral:rRNA from 1 species
ACUCCUACGGGAGGCAGCAGUGGGGAAUAUUGGACAAUGGGGGCAACCCUGAUCCAGCCAUGCCGCGUGUGUGAAGAAGGCCUUCGGGUUGUAAAGCACUUUUGUUGGGGAAGAAAAGCACUGGGUUAAUACCCUGGUGUCAUGACGGUACCCAAAGAAUAAGCACCGGCUAACUUCGUGCCAGCAGCCGCGGUAAUACGAAGGGUGCAAGCGUUACUCGGAAUUACUGGGCGUAAAGCGUGCGUAGGCGGUUUGUUAAGUCUGUCGUGAAAGCCCCGGGCUCAACCUGGGAAUGGCGAUGGAUACUGGCGAGCUAGAGUACGGUAGAGGAGAGUGGAAUUCCCGGUGUAGCAGUGAAAUGCGUAGAGAUCGGGAGGAACAUCAGUUGCGAAGGCGGCUCUCUGGACCAGUACUGACGCUGAGGCACGAAAGCGUGGGGAGCAAACAGGAUUAGAUACCCUGGUAGUCCACGCCCUAAACGAUGCGAACUGGACGUUGGGAGCAAUUAGGCUCUCAGUGUCGAAGCUAACGCGUUAAGUUCGCCGCCUGGGG